rnacentral:rRNA from 1 species
AGCAGCCGCGGUAAUUCCAGCUCCAAUAGCGUAUAUUAAAGUUGUUGCAGUUAAAAAAGCUCGUAGUUGAAUUUCGGGGUCAGUAGGUCGGUCGUGCCACAGGUAUGCACUGGUCUCACUGAUUCCUCCUUCCUGAUGAACCGUAAUGCCAUUAAUUUGGUGUUGCGGGGAGACUGGACUGUUACUUUGAAAAAAAUUAGAGUGUUUAAAGCAGGCUAACGCUUGAAUACAUUAGCAUGGAAUAAUGAAAUAGGACGUUUGAUUCUAUUUUUUUGGUUUCUAGGAUCGACGUAAUGAUUAAUAGGGAUAGUUGGGGGGCAUUAGUAUUCAAUUGUCAGAGGUGAAAUUCUUGGAUUUAUUGAAGACUAACUACUGCGAAAAGCAUUUGCCAAGGAUGUUUUCAUUAAUCAAGAACGAAAGUUAGGGGAUCGAAGACGAUCAGAUACCGUCGUAGUCUUAACCAUAAACUAUGCCGACUAGGGAUCGGAUGAUGUUAAUUUUUAAUGACUCAUUCGGCGCC